rnacentral:rRNA from 1 species
UACGUAGGGUGCAAGCGUUUAAUCGGAAUACUGGGCGUAAAGCGUGCGCAGGCGGUUUUGUAAGUCGGAGGUGAAAUCCUGGAGCUCAACUCCAGAACUGCCUUCGAUACUGAAGAGCUCGAGUCCGGGAGAGGUGAGUGGAACUGCGAGUGUAGAGGUGAAAUUCGUAGAUAUUCACAAGAACACCAGUGGCGAAGGCGGCUCACUGGCCCGGGUACUGACGCUGAGGCACGAAAAGCGUGGGGGAGCAAACAGGG